GGCGUGCUUAACACAUGCAAGUCGAACGGAGCUUAUUAAGAAAGCGGAGCUUGCUCCAAUGGAUUUUUAAGCUUAGUGGCGGACGGGUGAGUAACGCGUGGGUAACCUGCCUUGCACAGGGGGACAACAGUUGGAAACGACUGCUAAUACCGCAUAAGCCGGUAGAACCGCAUGGUUUAUCCGGAAAAGAUUUAUCGGUGCAAGAUGGGCCCGCGUUGGAUUAGUUAGUUGGCGGGGUAACGGCCCACCAAGACCGCGAUCCAUAGCCGACCUGAGAGGGUGAUCGGCCACAUUGGGACUGAGACACGGCCCAAACUCCUACGGGAGGCAGCAGUGGGGAAUAUUGCGCAAUGGGGGAAACCCUGACGCAGCAACGCCGCGUGAGUGAAGAAGUAUUUCGGUAUGUAAAGCUCUAUCAGCAGGGAAGAAGAUGACGGUACCUGCAGAAGAAGUCCCGGCUAACUACGUGCCAGCAGCCGCGGUAAUACGUAGGGGACAAGCGUUAUCCGGAUUUACUGGGUGUAACGGGAGCGUAGGCGGCCAGCCAAGUCAGAAGUGAAAUCCCACGGCUCAACUGUGGGCGUGCUUUUGAAACUGGAGGGCUUGAGUACUGGAGGGGCAAGCGGAAUUCCUGGUGUAGCGGUGAAAUGCAUAGAUAUCAGGAAGAACACCGGAGGCGAAGGCGGCUUGCUGGACAGAGACUGACGCUGAGGCUCGAAGGCGUGGGGAGCAACAGGAUUAGAUACCUGGUAGUCCCCCGGUAACGAUGACUGCUAGUAUGGGAUCAUAGGUCUGGUGCCCAGUUACGCAUAGCAUCCACUGGGAGUCUUCCAGAUGACU
rnacentral:rRNA from 1 species